rnacentral:tRNA from 3 species
GCGCCCGUAGCUCAAUUGGACAGAGUGCUUGGUUACGGCCCAAGAGGUUGCGGGUUCGACUCCUGCCGGGCGCGCCA